rnacentral:misc_RNA from 1 species
UUUCAAAAACAAAAUUCUCAUAUUAGAAUCAUUAAUGUUUUCCCUCAUAACAACUCUUCCCAAACAAAACAUGCAAAUACAAUAACAAUGCCGCAUCUCUCAACAUUACCAAGAACGGCACUCGCCAAGUAAUGUUUACCUAGUACUUGUCUACUCAACCGGCGUGCUUUUAAGGUUCAAUCACAAACAGAGGCGUGUCGACACUGACUGGCUUCCCAUCUUCUGCUACAAUUUCGAUAAUGGUCCCUGACUGAUCAGCUUCUAUUUCAUUCAUCAAUUUCAUGGCCUCAAUGAUGCAUAAGACUUGUCCCUUCUGCACUUUGUCUCCAACCGUCACCAAAGGUGGUUCACCUGGUGCUGGACUUCUGUAGAAUGUGCCAGCCAUAGGGCAUUUAAACGGUGGAAGUGAUGACUUGAGUGAUUUAGCAGCAGAAGGUACAGGUGAUGGGGGUGGAGCAGUGGAAGCCGGACUAGAGGCUGUAGAGAAAGCUGCAGAUGGGGCUGGUGGCAUUAGUGGUGAUGGUGAAGGUGAAGUUGAAGGAGCAUUCGUCAUAACAAAUGGAGCAGGAGACGGUGGCUGAGGCAAGGCCUCCUUUUUCCG